GUGACAAUUGCACCUCCCGUUUUGGCCGUCGCCGGCCGUUCAUUGCCGCCGGCGCCGCCCUUGUCACCAUAGCUGUUUUCCUCAUCGGAUUUGCUGCUGACCUUGGACAUUCCUCCGGUGACCCUCUCGGAAAAGGGUCUAAGCCUCGUGCCAUUGCUGUUUUUGUCGUUGGGUUUUGGGUCCUUGAUGUUGCUAACAACAUGUUACAGGUAAAAUUUCAUCUUAGUUUUGAUUUUUUUCUUUAAAAUAUAUAUACAUAGACCAGAAAGUAUAAUUAAUUACUGUUCAACCAAAAAAGAAAGUAUUUUUGCUAAAACGGCAGUAGAAGACGUCAGACUCACGGCAAACUUGUGUAAGUAUGGAGUAUAGUUUUCUAUUUAUUAUUUUAAUAAUUUUGCUCACAUAUAAUUUAGAUUGUGAGUAAAAUCCAAACCUCCAGCUAGAUAAUUAUUCUAGAAAUAUAUAUAUUCCGCAGAAUUUAGGUACAAACAAAAAAAAAUAGAUUCCAGAGUAUUGGCUAAAAAAUAAUUAAAUAUGCACAUGAAUAUCUGUUAAAAUUAUCUGUAUUUUGACUGACACCAAUAAGAUAGGGAAAACAAUCCCUUUAGAUAAUUUACAUGGGUGAAUAAUACAGAAUAACAAUAGAUUGUAUAUGCAAAGACAUCCCUACUAAAGUGAUGUAAUAUUACUCUUUACGUUUUCAAAAGACCAACAACUUUAUUCUCAACAAAUUUUUUAAUAGUGUCUUUUUCACUAUUGAAUUAAAUAAUACAAAAAAGUGACAAGUUGUAAUUUAUUUCUAGUUUCACCUAAUUAUAUAUCACUAAUAUUGAUGUUCCAACAUGACAAUCCAAAUUUACCGGAAAAUCCAAAAGAAGAAAGUGACUGUUGCCUUCAACUUAAUUACUCCUAUAUAUAAGCUUAAUUAUCGGUUUCUAAUUAUAUUUUUUUGCAAAUUAAUGGUAAAUAAUAUAAAGUUGUAUACUAAAUUUUUAUAGUUGAAAAUUUUAUUUUAAACUAUCAAUUACCAAUACUUAUUAUAUAAAUAAAGUCACGUAUAAUUACUUUUUAAAGUGAUUUGAUUAUUUAAAUAUAUUUUACAGUCUAGUGGAUAAAACUUAAAUUAUGAGUAAAUGAUUUUCUGAAAAUGAAUUUAAUUUUUGCAGGGUCCAUGCAGAGCGCUAUUGGCUGAUCUGUCCGGCGGAAAAGCCGGGAGGAUGAGAACAGCAAACGCCUUCUUCUCCUUCUUCAUGGCCGUCGGAAACGUCCUCGGUUACGCCGCCGGUUCCUACUCCCGCCUCUACAAAAUCUUCCCCUUCUCCAAAACCCCAGCCUGCGACAUCUACUGCGCCAACCUCAAAUCCUGUUUCUUCAUCGCCGUCUUCCUUCUCCUCAGCUUAACAACCCUAGCCCUAACCGUCGUCCGCGAAAACGAGCUCCCCGAAAAAGAUGAACAGGAAAUCGACGAAAAAGC
rnacentral:lncRNA from 1 species